rnacentral:misc_RNA from 1 species
GUCCUUUCUCAGGGAACAAAACAUAGACCUCACAGAUGUAAAGGAAAGCCCCCAGGAGGAGGAAGAAGAACCCAUUACCAAAAAGGGCGGCAGGAGUAGUGUUCGGUACAACCAACAAUAUGCAGAUUUAGGUCAAGACACAAAAGUAAUGAACAUUGAAAGCUUGCCUCAGCAAAACAUAUAUUUUCGAGAACAAGAUUCUAAUGUUGAAGAAAAUACUGAUCUACACUCUACAAAAUUGUCUCCUGAAUUAUGCUCGAAGAUUACUAAACUUGAGAUACCAAAUAGAGAUGACAUGUAUGAAAUUUUCAAAAAGGCUGCAACUGAACCAAGCUGCAAUGCCAAGUCUCCUAAAUCUCCCAUUAACAACGGUUAUGAAUCAGCAAAAGAUGCAUUUUGCCAAGAUGAUGGUUAUGACUCAGCAGAAGAUUCAUUUUUUACUGAGGAAGAUUUCAUGUUUCUUAAGAUGAAUCUUUUUGAUGAAGAUCAAGAAGAAGAAGAUGAAGAAGCCAUUCCGAAAGAAAAAAUCAUGAAAAGGAUAAAUUCGCAUAAAGAAAUGAAGUCAUAUCAGCUGGCUAACCAGUUAUCCUCUAAAUGGACUACAGGGGCAGGGCCACGAAUUGGGUGUAUGAGGGACUAUCCAUCAGAGCUUCAACUCCGGGUCUUAGAGCAUGUAAACUUGUCUCCAAGAUUUAGAAGGGCUAACUCAACUCCUUGGAUGACAUCCCGUUUUAGCCCAAAGGCUUUGACACCAACUUCAGUAUGCAGGGAAACAAUAUUCAGAAGCUCCCUUGCUUCUCCAGGUCAGGUGGUAUUGUCACCCUAGGCUAUUUCAGAUGCAAGAAAGGUUCCUUCAAAUGAUUUAAAUCUUCAUCUGGGGUAGAGAAGGUGACAUAGAAUUUCUUUUUAUAUUUUUCUGCUUUUUUUUGUUUCCAUUGUACAUCCCACUCUGAAAGCCAG